UGCUGGGGGAAUCUGGGCCAGGCCUGUGGGCAAGUAGCCAUUGACUAAGCUGUAACACCGCCGUGUUACAGCCACCGUAGCUCAGUACCUGUCGCCCUCCUCCAUCCCUCCCAUUGUCUUCCGAAGGGCUGAUUGCCAAGCCUUCAGGCUGCCACAGGAUGGAAUUUCUGCCUCACAGCGACAUCUUGUGAUGAAAGAGAGCAAUGGGCCGAUCCAAAGCAAGGCCUGCAGCUCUUGGAAGUGAUGGGACUGAUGGUAUCCAUGUUGAUGGUAUACGUAUACGUAUACGUACACACACACACACAGAGAUCCCCUCAUAAGCAUUUGGGAAGUGUUGGAGCUUGGAAGGGAGAUGAUCUACCCCAGCUGCAACGGAAGUGCACAGGAACUUUCACAGAUGAUCUCACAAGCUGGUAGAUCAAUUGACAAGCAGAAUGAAGAGAGCUGUCCCUUCAAAACUAUCCUUGAACCAACUUAAGUAGAUCCAAUAAUGGCAAGACAUGAAGCCAAAGGCAAAUCCCAUGCAGACAGAUAAAGAAUGAGAUGUGUGGGAUUCUGAGGGUGAGGACACCACCAAAUGACACGUGGCCAUGCUUGAAUCUUGUCAGCCACAAGAUCUUCCUUCAGCUGAGGAGGAACAACAACUGGGAAAUGAUGCAUGUCUGUACUAUUCUUUUCACUCAGUUCAGUUUUGUAACUUAUUUCUAAGCCUGUUUAUAUAUAGUUGGAAAAUAAAAAAUGUGAAAAAUGUGCAAAUUUCUUUCAGCAACAGUGCAAAUAAUGCGUCU